AGGGCAGAGAGCGAGACUGCCCGAGGAAUGGGAGGGGAGGAGAAGAGAGAAGAGGAGAUCUGAGGCGAGGUCACAUCUAGACAGGACGCAGUAGGAAGUAAAGCUAGAACAAAGACCAGUGAGAGGCCAGGGCACAACUAGGGAGAAAGGAUGGACUCGCAGGACAGGGGAUGCACAUAAAGGAAAGACAGAUGAUUUCUCUGUGUGACCAGAAGGAUAGCGAUUAAAAAGGUAAGAAUGACAGGAAAGGCAGGAAAAGGGAAUAAGUAAGGGGACAAAGUAAGUGCACAAGGACUAGUUCAUGCUUAGCAAAUCACCCGGCAGUUAGGCUGAGCUGGAAAGAGAGCCACAGCCAUACCCGAGAGGGGACCAUCAGGAAGGGGAGGCAGGCAGUGUAAGUAACUAGCUACUGAGGCAAAAAUGAAAAGAAGAAAAAAAAAGAAAGAAAGAAAAGAAGAAGAUGGAAAAGGUGAGAAGCAGGAGAGGGAAAACCCUAAGGAGACACUGGCCCAGAAACCUUUUUAACUUUCUGUAAAAAUCUUCAAGGCCCCAAACUAGGCCAAGAUUCUGACUGACAUUUCUGAGCUCACCAGCUGCUGUUUCCUUGAGAGAAUUCUGACAGGAAGGCAUAGAAACGCAAGCCAACGCUGGCAGCUCUGGAAAAAAUAAUCAUACUAACACUCCGUGCUCUAAACACCUCAAUGGGACUCACGCCUCCCAUGGAAGAAAGCGCACAGAGGAGGAGGGACUUGCCCACAACUUUCCCCAGGCUUGGAAUAUACCAAGGAAUCCUCACACUAGCGGUUGCCUGCAGCCACUCCCGAUGGAGCUGCCUCCUGCUCUGGCUGGUCAAACGGAACCAAGUCCGUCUUCCUGAGAGGUUUGGUCCCCUUCAACCAGCUACAGCAGGGCUGGCCAUGCCCAGUCCUUGGAGGACAGAGAGACCCGCCUGUGCUGAAAUUACAUACUAAUGCUUCCCUUAAGAAAACGACUCUGAUUUUAUCAUAUACUCUUAUGUUCCCAGGAAGGGAGAAAAGAGGAGCCCUGGGUUCAAAAGUCAGCAAUAUUUUCACACUUGACACACAGAAUUCUGUGGCUUUACACCCACAACUAGAUCCCCUCACAUGCUCCUGACACACACAGUCCGUAAAGAUUUUGAGGAGGGAAUUCUUGCCAGCUCUGGUCCAGCCAGGGUAAGAGUGAGACCUCAGAGACAGGACUUCUGCUCACAGGGGCUAACAGUCUAAGUUAAGAAACUGGAUGUAUGAAUACGGCACAAUUAAAUGGAAUUGCAAGUCAGAGCAUGGCUAGUUCCGAACAUAAUACUUCUUACAUAGCACACCAUAUACGCCUGGCACAUUGUGUACCACCAAGGCUAUAUUGACCCUUUCAGCCCAAGAUAUCUAUUCACUAAGCAAUAUACACGGGACUCAGUUUCCUGGUCUGUAGAAGGGUGAUAACAAUCAUAGCACCUAUCACAUAGGAUUGUGUGUGGAAUGAAAUGAGAACACGUGUAAAAGAGUUAAAAAGCUCUCCCUAAUUCUUACCUCACCUGUCCUUCCAAUUUCUCUUUCAAAAUGGUGUAUCUUUGACAGUGUAUGCCCAAAACCAAGGAGUAUGCCCAAAACUUAGCUAGUGCUCAAUAACACUUGUUUGAAUUCCAGAGGUACAUGUGUGCACAUGCUGGACUCUGACAUAAUGUGGUCUCAUGAUGCCCAGAGUCCACCAAGCCUAUGGAGGGUGUGGCGCUCAUCUGCACAUGCCUUGGAAUCAGGGAGACCUGGGUUUGAAUCCUGCCCUUCUCAUUUAUUAGCUGAUAUGUCCUCUCCGACCUCAGUUCACAUUAUAUAAACUUCAGUUUCCUCUUCUGUAAAAUAACAACAAGGAUACUUAAAGUUGAUUUAGGAACUUAAAAAGAUAAUGCACAUAAAGAGCUAGCUAUAAUCCCUCAGUAAAUGGUAGCUGUUGUUUUUCUAUUGUACAUGGCCACAACUCAAGGCCAAAUUUGUGUCCACAGACACCAGAAAGGUGGAAGACCAAAUUAAAAAAAAAAAAAACCAACAAAAAACUAAAAAUAAAUAAAACCUCAUUAUAGGGUAUUUUUAUGCUCCAACUACAAAUACUACAAUCAAGCAGCGUGCAUUCAUACUUGUAUGUGUUACCAGUACGUAAUAAAUUUUACUAAAAAUAAAUGUUUGAGUAUCAUCUUAAAGAAAUAUCCUGCCAAGAAAGCCUUCAUUUGUGAGUGCUGCUGAAAUGCUAGUCUGUAACCACAUGUCCUCCUGAGCAUGUGAAGGUCCACUGAGCGUGAAACCCAAGGUGUGGAGCUUAGAUACAGGCACUGGAGCCUGACUGUGUGGGAUCCCAGCUCCCCAGACUCCAACCAGCUGUGCUAUUUGGGCAACUUGCUUGACCUUUUUGGGCCUGAGUUUCCUCAUAUGUAGAAUGAGGACAUUAACAGGAGUAUCUACCUCACAGGUCUUUCAUGAGAAUGAAAUCAAAAUACAUGUAAAGGUCUAAAACUAGGACUGGGUACAUAUUAAGCUUGUAAAACUUUUUAUCUUUGACAAUGGAUCUGAGAUGUUCUGAAAACUAAAUUGGUGUUCAAUAAAACCUAUUUAAUAAAUGA